GGAUUAGAUACCCUGGUAGUCCACGCCGUAAACGAUGACAACUAGCCGUCGGGGUCCUUGAGACCUUGGUGGCGCAGCUAACGCGAUAAGUUGUCCGCCUGGGGAGUACGGCCGCAAGGUUAAAACUCAAAUGAAUUGACGGGGGCCCGCACAAGCGGUGGAGCAUGUUGUUUAAUUCGAUGCAACGCGAAGAACCUUACCACCCCUUGACAUACUCGGAACUUGGCAGAGAUGCCUUGGUGCCUUCGGGAACCGAGAUACAGGUGCUGCAUGGCUGUCGUCAGCUCGUGCUG
rnacentral:rRNA from 1 species